GCGCAACUGUACCGCCGGCGUUUUUGUUUUCGUUGUCUUGUCUUUUGUCCUGCCUGCCCCUUCCCAUAUGCCUGUCGCAGUCUCUCUUGUUGCUCACUUAUCAUCUUCUCUGAGCACUUUUCUUAUUUCUGCAGCUGCUGUUGUUUCUUGAUCAGGGAGCUCCCGCUCCCAAUCCCAUUUCUACUUGCAUAUUUAAUUUCUUAACACUUCUCUUAGUCCUUUGUCACCCCAUGCAAAUUGUGUUGUUAAUCGUAAGUGCUGGAGGAGGAGGAGGAGUAUUGGUGACAAAAACGGCCUACAGCAAAGCUCUUGUGCUGUGUCUUCCCCCCCGAUGAAUGGGCUGAAACUUAUGUACUUGUAGUACAUAACAACCGUAAUUACCGGUUUUUGCAACGUUAUCUUCUGAUACGAAAGCGACAGGCGCCAGAAGCGAACCCCAAGGGUGGCGCCAGACAUGAAACUAAAUGCACUAAAUGGCUGCCAUUAUACUCUCUACCAAUCUUACAUUGUGGAACAAAAACUGAAAGAGCACACAAAGUAUUAUUUUUGUUCCCCCAGUACAUCAUACAAAAAAAAAACAGUUUUAAAUCAUUUAUUCCUGAAGUUGGUGCUCUAUCUGAGAUAUUUCAUUGCUUAAAUGUGGGAUUUUUGUUCCUAUUUCGAAGAAAGCCAUCGGGAAUGUCCUUCUUAACGGCAGACUUCGCUGGAAGGGAAGGCGAUCGAUCGAUAGACAUUGGGAAUGCCGCAUAGCGAAUACAAAUACAAAACCCGUGUGGGACGAUAGCAACAAUGUUGCCUGGCCAAGGCUGAUGCGCAAAAUGCAAUUUACAGUUCCAGUGGCCGCCUUAUCAGCGUGCGACCGAAAAGCAUAGCUCGGUUCCGUAUGCACACCUGCCAUUGGCAGCGGUAGCGGCAGCGGUAGCGGCAGCGGCAGCACUCUUAUCAGCUUGCGAUUUGUACAAUGUUACUGCACGUGUAACCUGUUAAAUAGUGGACGAGGGUAAGUGUUAACCCGUUACGUAGGCCAAGGCGCCGCCGCCGUCGCUGCUGGGUUUUUUGUUUUGUUUUGAAAGCACAGCUAAUUCUUGGCAAGCGACGCUGCGGAGAGCUGCAGGCGUCAACACUUGUUGCCGCUAUUUACGCAGUAGGUAUUCCCUCUCUCUCUCUCUCUCUCUCUCCGUCUGCCGUCCCCCUUCCCACUCCGCCCGAUCGCAUUUCACACCAGCACGCGCAAAAAUGAUUGAACGAAAAUCGAACGGCAACAAUAUUGCAAAACGUAUUGCAAUAAAAGUUUAGCAGAAAAACUGCCACAACAACAGCAAUGGAGAAAGCACAUGAAAAAGUUGUCAGAAAAGCUAAAGCGCAAAAUGCGCGGCAUUACCCGGCA